rnacentral:misc_RNA from 1 species
CCAAUCUUAGUGAGCCUGAAUUCGUUCACGGUCUCACGAAAUCUUGUAUUUAAAACCCGCUCAUAUAAAUAAAAACAUGUAGUAAUAUGAUAAUUAAAGA